rnacentral:lncRNA from 1 species
GGUGUGGGGAGGUCAAGAUUUAAAAAUAACUACUCUUAUUCUUAUCUGGAACAUCGCAAGUACUGCAGUAGUUGCCGUAUGUCAUAUCAUGUUUUAACUGAAUUCGUUGCUAAUGGCUUUUUUUGUUAAGAUAAAUUGUUUGAGUCAACCAAUUUGAGGAUCAAAUCAGAUAUGAAUAAAAUUGAGAAUGGAAAGUUGAAAAGCAUAAAUUUCUG